rnacentral:tRNA from 1 species
UUCGUUGUCGUCCAGUGGUUAGGAUAUCUGGCUUUCACCCAGGAGAGCCUGGGUUCAAUUCUCGGCAACGGAA